UCAAGCUUUAUUUAUUUAUUUAUUUGUUUGUUUGUUUGUUUGUUGCAGAAAACAGCAUCUAUUUUUUGGUUAUCUACUGACUUGAAUUUUUUCAUUUAGAAAACGUGCUGGGAAAGUAAAAUCUGUACUUCUAUCUUGUCAAUAUAUAUUCUGACUAGGUGAUUUCAUUUAGAUAUGCUGUUUUGCAACAUUUCUGACUAUCUGAGAAAUCCCUUUGUCUUCUUUUUUGAUGCUCUCUCUUAGUUCUGGAAUCCAAUGAGAUGAGAAGAAUCAUAGGAUCACAGAAUGGCUUUGGUUGGAAGGGAUCUUAAAGCUCAUCCAGUUCCAACCCUCCUGCUGUGGACAGGGUUGCCACCCACCAGCUCAGGCUGCCCAGGGCCCCAUCCAACUUGACCUUGAAUGCCUCCAGGAAUGGAGCAUCCGCAGCUUCUCUUGACCAUCUGUUCCAGUGCCUCAACCUCCUCUCACUGAAAAAUUUCUCCCUAAUAUCUGAUGUAAAUCUCUCCUGUUUUAGUUUAAAAACAUUCCCCCUUGUCUUAUCAUAUCUUUUGAUAUUCUGAUAUAUAUUUUGAUAUCUUACUAUCAGAACUUGUAAAAAACUGGUCUCCCUCCUGCUUAUAAGCUCCACUCAAGUACUUGAAAGCUGGGAGUUCUCCCCAAGUUUUCUAUUCUUCCAGGCUAAACAAGUCACCCUUUCUUUAUAAGGGAAAUGCUUCAGCACUGUAAUCGUCCUCACAGCCCUCCUCUGGACCCACUCCAACUGUUCCAAGUCUUCGUUGUGCUGUGCGCCCAAGUCCUGGAUGCACUACUCCCGAUGGCAGUACUUCUGGAUGCAGUGUUUCAAAUACUUUGAGUAGAAAGUUUUUUUGUUUGUUUGUUUGUUUGGUUUUUUUUUUGGUGAAACAGCCCCUAGUAAUGUUAAAAAAAGAAACAAAACAAAACAUCAACAACAAAACAACAACAAAAAAACAGAUGACAUACAUGUCAAAGAAAAUAUCUUAGAGUCUUAUUUCAUAUUUUUGACACACUAAGAUGACCAAGAAUUAGAAAUUAUACUAGUAAGGCUUGCAAAAAAAGAUAUUUUGAAUUGUUAACUUUGCACGACAUUCACAGCAACACGUAUUUUAAAAAUAAACUAAAAUACCCAGAUUGUAUAUAAUACCAUUUUCUCUCAUUAUUUAUCUUACUUUUUAAAAAUUCUUUUGGCAGUUUUGGUAAAUUCACAUGUAUCUUAUGCAGAAAAGUUUCUACACUUUUCUGUAGAUUUUCUGUAGAAAAUUAUUUCUGAUCUGAUAUAGUAUAACUUAUAAUACAAGAAACAUCAUAUAGACAACAUAUUCAUUUAGUAAGAGUUUGCCAUGUGAUAUUUAUGCUGCGAAAAUUUACUUUAACCGGACUUUUCCAAAGGCUGCUCUUACCUCAGUGUGAUGGUAAGUUUAUGGACUCAAAAUAGGUGAUACUUUUUUUUGAAUUAUUUGUUUCUAAAUCUGUUUCCACAUUUCUUCAUGCUUUUAUCUUUGAUAUAACUGUGGACCUCUAUUUCAAGCUUAGUUUAGUUAAAAUCUUAAAUUCAUUGGAUGAUUGAUUGGCUGGCUAGACUUAAGUCUACCAUGAAAAUUGUCAUGACCUAACCUUGCAAUGUUCUCUCUGCCCUGUCACAGCAAUUUGAAUGAGACCCAUAUUUUAAUAGCCAUUUACACUGUUCCUGAAUACCAUCCAGUAAGCUUGACUACAUCCCUUACAAUUAUGAAUUGAAUCGCUUCCUUCUGCUCAGGAAAAGUUUUUCUGCUGUGUUAUUACCUGAUAUAGCAUUUACAGUAUUUCUUUGCCCAUCAGAGUAAGAGUGAGAAAAACACAUAUCACCUCAAUUAUAACUUUAUUUUCUUCCUCUACCCCCUUCUUGCAGGCUUUAUCUUAUUUUCACACUGCUGAAAAGUUAAAUGUUUGUAUUCUGCUUCCUCUGUCUUUUACAGAGCAAAAAUAUAGAUCUCCAGUGCCUUCCACCAAGGUGUUGUGCUUUAAUCCAUCAAGCACCUAAAUUCCACAGUCUUCUGCUGCCUGCACUCCCAGUAGGACAGGGCAUAGAAUCAGAAAAAAAAACAUAGAACUUGAAGGUUAAGAUAAAAACGAUUUACUAAGAUAGAAAAGGAGGAGAGAGUAAUGAUAAGAGUAAUGAUAAUUACAUAUAUUCCAAGUGAUGCACAAAGCAAUUACUCACCACCUGUCAGUCAAUGCUAAGCCGGUCCCCAGUGUCAAGGCAGUGGUUCUCCCCCAGCCAACUACUUUAAGUUUUAUAGUUUUUCCAUAUGACAUCUUAUGGUACGGAAUAUCUCUUCGGCCACUUCAGGUCAGCUGUGCUGGCCCUGUCCCCUCCCAGCUUCUUAUGCUGUCCCAGCGCCUUGCUGGCACGACAGCAUGAGAAGCUGAAAAACCGGAAGGUUCAUGGCUCUGUACAGCACUGCUCAGCAACAACUAAAACACUGGUGUAUCAUCAACAUUGUUUUUCUCCUAUAGACAAAAUACAGAAUCACACCAGACACUAUGAAGAAAAUCAGUUCUGUUCCACACAAGCUUUUACACCAAAAUGGAAAGCUAAAUGCUUGCUUUUGGAAUUGCUGAAUGUAGACCAUGAACACAAGUUUUAAUUCCUGUUCCUUCUAAUCAAGAAAUUCUGUGUUGCUUCUAGGAAAGCUGAUAAAAAUAAUUCUACUUAUAAAAAAUAUUUUUUCUCUUAACAUUCUUCAUGUCUCUAUUUUUUUUUUUUUCCAAUAAACACAUUUGGAGUAGAGGUUAUUAUUUCUUGUGAAUUGCAUUGAGCAUUCUUCUGGUGACAUGAGAAACAGUCCUCCAAGUCCUUCAGUCACUUCCAGCUGAACACCUUAGGGAGAGGCUUUUUCCCUCCCUUGAGUACAUCCACACGGAACUGAAACCCUAUUGUCUGUCAUGUUCUACAUUAGGCACAGAGUUAAGUCUUACCUACAGUCAUUCUCUCUGGAUGUAUCUGUUUAAAGCACACUGAAAAAUAAAAUAAAAAAAUCUUCAGCAGUAGACUAGAAGACUGAAUAAAAAGUGAUUCCUAAAUGUGUAUUUCCUUAGAUUUUUCAAAUUCUUCCCAUUGCUGAGUGGUGACAAUUUCAUCAGCUGCCCAGUCUUAGAGUUUACUGUAUCAAAACUUCUGUUUUGAACUGGAACGUUUAAGUGUCUCAUGCUAAGUGAAUUUUAUGGGAACUUGUGCCCAGGUUUUGGCAGUGGGGAGACUGGUGGAUCUGCUUUGCCUAUCAUAGUAGUUGGAAGUGGUCUCUUUGACUUUCUCAACUUACUGGCUUUCCAUCCCAUUUUUUCUCUCAUCCAGUUAUAUUGGGGAACUGAAUGAGUAAGAGGCUAGAAGGGAUUUUAGUCCAUGUUAAAUCCAUCAAAAGUGAACACAAACCAUGGUCUGUGCCUCCCAGGUGAACACUCUCUGGUCAAUCCAGAAUCAUGCUCACACCAGCUAUGUUUAUUUUCCUUUUUAACUCUUCAAAGGAAUUACUAAUAUGCAUCAUGACAUGUUCCACAUAGAAAAUGGACUGCCUUACAGUAAGUAAAUAACAAACUUCAGCUUUCCAGUGCAUGGAGUUGAACUCUGUGAUUAGAUUAAGACACGGCUACUUAUUCCAUCUGUCUUUUAUGACAAUAUACUGGCACAGGGCAACCUGAAGUAUUUUAGUAUCCACUUAUUCAGAAUGAGCAGGAUUGAAAAACCUGAGAAAGAGUGGAAAGUUUGUGGGAACUAAGAAGAAUGUAUUGUUCAGAGUGACUAGUGACAAUUCUCAGUGCUUACGGACACAAAAAAUCACAAAGCGAAAUAGUACUUCUUGUUUUAUCAUACAAUCAUUAUCAGCUUUAUGUGAGUGCUGUUUGAAGCCCCAGAAAGUAGCAUCUGUUCUGAAAACUCUAGACAUGCUGAGACCAUGUCCACACAAUGGAUCAUGUCUGUACAAGGUGAAUUAUUUCAUCAGCAGUAGCUGUCUCAUGCACAGAGUAAACAACUAGUAGUAUUUCUGAAGAAAACUUAUUCUUGAAAAUGCACUCUCUAUUGGUUCGUCAUACUCAUUUCUUCCUGCUACUGACCUUUGAGAUAUCCAUAUAGUGUGUCCUCUGUCUUGUGCUUGAGCUGACGCCUGGAAAUAAGGUUGGCUAAUUAUAUUGCUUCUGAAUUAGGAGUACUAAAACUUUGACCUCUACUGAAAUAAUCCAUACCUUUGACUAUUUCCUGUUUCUCUCUCUGCCACAGUAUGAUUCCGUGUUUUAUUCUCUCCAAGUCACAUCAGAAGGAAAUAUGCUGUCAUCAGUUGCCACGAAGUACAUUAUAAAAUGCCACAAGCUGAGACUAGCAGUAGUAGAUGCAACUCCAGAAUUCCAGCAGUUGUCCUUGUCAAGACUGGAAUUUCUUGCCUGAUGCAACAGGGAGCAUCUCUUUUGCUAGAACACACUGAAAGGACUUGAUCUGCUGGAUCUUCAGUGAAGGCUGAAUUAAAAUGUCAUCACUUCUUUUACCAUAAGAAUUUUAAAGUCCAUAUACCUGGAGA
ensembl:lncRNA